CUAGCGACUUCAGGUUUGAUCCUGGCUCAGGAUGAACGCUAGCGACAGGCUUAACACAUGCAAGUCGAGGGGCAGCGGGGUUUUAGCUUGCUAAAACUGCCGGCGACCGGCGCACGGGUGAGUAACACGUAUGCAACCUGCCCAUUGCAGGGGGAUAAGCGGAAGAAAUUCCGUCUAAUACCGCGUAAUAUCCUUUGAGGGCAUCUUCAUAGGAUUAAAGAAAUUCGGCAAUGGAUGGGCAUGCGGCGCAUUAGCUAGUUGGCGGGGUAACGGCCCACCAAGGCGACGAUGCGUAGGGGUUCUGAGAGGAAGGUCCCCCACACUGGUACUGAGACACGGACCAG
rnacentral:rRNA from 1 species